rnacentral:lncRNA from 10 species
UUGCGGAUGCCACACUUCAAGUGCUCAAUAGCCACAUGUGGUAUGUGGCUACAUAUUGGACAGCUCAAAUAUAGAACAUUUCCAUCACUGCAGAAAGUUCUAUUGGAUAAUAUUGGCUUGGGGCUACUCCCUGUCAUGGUUAUAUUUUUCAUUAAAUUUUUGGUGAUUAUUGAUGUUCUGCUCAUCCUUAAUUUGCCAGCUUUCUGUUCACUGUAGCCUGUCUCUGUUACGGGGAGUGGGAGAGAGGUGAGUGGCCUGCUGACAGUCUUUCUCCUGGCUGAGGGCUCCCUAUUCCUCUCCCAGAGUGUCAGUAGCUACUUGGAGUAUUGCUUACCUCUCUAGCCCAGCACCUUGGGGCAAAUCCACUGCUGCUAGCUGUUGAGCACUGGUGUUCAGGAAUAUCCCUGGGACCUCCUCUGGUUUCUUUGAGUCUGUUGACUCAGGCUUGGAGUCCCCCAAACCACUCUUUUCUCCAUAGCAGUCUUCUCCUGCAUGUUUUAGCUGUGGUUUCCUUCAGUUUUAUUUCUUUAUAGCUUUUUUUUUUUUUCUCCUGAGACAGAAUCUUGCUCUGUCGCCCAGGCUGGAGUGCAGUGGCAUGUUCUUGGCUCACUGCAACCUCCACCCGCAUUCAAGCGAUUCUCCUGCCUCAGCCUCCUGAGUAGCUGGGAUUAUAGGCGCACGCCACCAUACCUGGCUAAUUUUUUUUGUAUUUU